rnacentral:misc_RNA from 1 species
UCCCCUACCGCGAGGGGCAGUCCAUCGGCGUCAUCCCCGACGGCAUCGACAAGAACGGCAAGCCCCACAAGCUCCGCCUCUACUCCAUCGCCAGCAGCGCCAUCGGGGACUUCGCCGACUCCAAGACGGUAUCGCUGUGCGUGAAGAGGCUGGUGUACACCAACGAUCAGGGAGAGAUCGUCAAAGGAGUCUGCUCCAACUUCCUCUGUGACCUGAAGCCUGGUUCGGACGUGAAGAUCACGGGGCCAGUGGGGAAGGAGAUGCUGAUGCCCAAGGACCCCAACGCCACCAUCAUCAUGCUGGGCACCGGCACCGGCAUCGCGCCCUUCAGGUCCUUCCUGUGGAAGAUGUUCUUCGAGGAGCACGACGACUACAAGUUCAACGGCCUGGCGUGGCUCUUCCUCGGGG